CUGACAAUAUCAUUAGAAUAAAUAAAUUAGUAACAUUCACUAAUGUUUAAGCUGCACAUUUACCCUAAUAUCAUCAUGUUUUUAUAUUUCAUGUCUAAUGUUAAUGGCUAAUAUAUUAAUAAAUGUCACUGACACAAUAUACACCAAAAACUAUGUAUCAUUCUCACUCUGCAAAGUACAACUGAAACCAGAGGUGUACGGUCCCAUUCAACUUAAGUCUCUGUGCAAAAAAAAAAAAAAAAAUUUAAAUCCAUACUGUUACUACUCCCCAAACCGUUCAGGUAAGAUCUCACAUGUGCAUCUGUAACUAUUAAUAUUCUACAUAAUCUUUCUGCAUGGGGUAUACUGCUUAGUAUUUUAACAGUACAAAGUUUCACUGAAAUCUGUACUAUAGCAAAUCGUAAGUAUUUCAAGGAGAUGUCAUCAGUUUCUCUUCAAGUGUACUCUGAUGGAUAAGACAGCCAGACCUUGGUGUUUUAAGUGAAGGAGGUAGUCCAGCAUCAAGGGACCCAUCACCUGCUUGGGGAGGGGACCUUAUCAAGGCACCACAGGGGGAACCUCUUCUAUUUGACUACAUAGGCAGCCCUGAGCACUGGCGUUUGGGGCGAUUUAGCCAUGGAGCUUCCAUGCUGUGAGGUGGAGUGACUCAGGUUUGGGUGGCACAGCCUGCCAAACUCCUGUGUCAACAGGUUGGGAACCAGGGGGAGCGUAUUGGGCUUGGCCACCAAGAGGGACAGCAGUGUGGUGAACCAAUGGUGCUUUGAUCACGCCGGUACCAUCAGCAUGACCACCGCUUUGUCCUGUUGAAUUUUGAGGAGGACCCUAGAUGUCAAUGGCUCUGGGGGGUGGGGAAACCGUACAGUUGCUGCUCCGUCCAUGACAGGUGGAAAGCAUCCAGCAGGAACUGAAUGAAGCAGAAUUGCAGGCACUUCCUGUUCAAGUGAGUUGCAAUCAGGUUUACCUGGACAUGACCCCACUCUCGGAAGAUGAAGAGACCCACGUCUGCUCCCAGGAGAAAAAGGACUGACUGAGGCAAGCUGUAAGGUCAUUCUGUGUUCCUGGAAGGUACGAUGCUUGUAGGGGAGUAUUAUGAGAAAUACAAAGGUCUCAUAAAACGAUGGCCUCCUGGCACAGGAGAGAGAGGAGUGAGCCCACCACAUCAAACAAUAUAAAACAUCCCUGUGGUGUUGACUGUCAUUACCAGGACAUAUUUGCCUUGCAGGUGAAGCAGGAACACCUGGCAAACAAACCAGAUUGCCCUGGGUUCCCGAAUAUUGUUAUGCAAACACAUGUCCGUGCAAGACCAGAAGCCCUGUGAACACAUGUUCAGAUGCGCACCCCAUCCUGUGUCUGAGGGGUCUGUCACCAGGGUGAUCUCUAGCUGCGGGCCCACAAAUGGGACCCCUGCACACACUAUCUGGGCCUGCAUCCACCAGUCGAGGGACUGCAGGGUUGCCGGCAGCAUGGUGACCAUGCAGUCAAGGAGGUCCCUGCAGGAUGUGAACACAGAUGCCUGCCACGCUUGGAGCAGGCACAGGCAUAGGUGGGCAUGGCACAGGACAUAAGUGCAAGAGGCCAUGUGCCCAAGAAACCUCAUGCAGUUGCCUACCAUUGUAAUUUGGCAUUAUUGCCGCACAGAGAUGAGGCCUGCCAUGGUACUCGGGUAUGGACAUUGUUGCCCGAGCAGAACUGAAAAGGGCCCCAAUGAACUUAAUUCUUUGCAUAAGGAUGAGAGUGGAUUUUGGCACAUUAAGGAUUAGGCCCAGACAGAAAAAUGUGGCCUUGACCAAGUCCAUAUGCUGGAGCACCUGCUCUCUUGACUUGCCCUGGAUCAAACAGUCGUUCAAGUAUGGGAGACUUGCACCCAGUUCAGUUGUAGAAAUGCUGCCACCACCACCACCAUGCACUUGGUGAAGACUUGAAGUGCCAGAGCCAGACCAAAGGGCAAUACCAUGAACUGGUAAUAUCUGUUUGCCACUACAAAACACAGGAGCCGGGAUAAUGUGAAGAUACAAGUCCUUGAGAUUGAGGGCAGCGUACCACUCCCCUGGAUCUGGGAAGGUAUAAUGGAGACCAGGGAGACCAUGCGAAACUGCUUUCUUAUGAAGGUGUUUAAGUUCCUGAGGGCCAGGAUGUGGCACGGACCCCCUCUGGCCUUGAGAAUUAGGAAGUAUCAGGAAUAAAACCCUCAGUCCCUGAAGUGAGACAGAGAAGGCUCCUAAGAUGAGGAGUGAAUGUAGUUCCUGGAGGAAUUACUUGUGAGAAGAGUCGCUGAAGGAGGACAGGGAAGGGGGUUGGUGAGAAGGGAGGGAGCAGAACUAGACAGAGUAUCUCAGUCCUAUCGUGCUCAGGAACCAACAGUCUGAGGUAAUUUGAAUCCAGGCAUGUUAAAAGUAGGACAUUUGGUUCCCAAAGGGAGGGAAGGGACCCAUGACAGUAUCUGGUUCAGGCACACCCUCAAAAGUGAGGCUUAGCCCUGAGAGGCACCCUGGCACUGCAUGGAAGAGGAGUGAAGAGGUCCCCCAGGUAUUACUCCUGCCCCCGUGGCAUCCCUGAUCUUGUCUGGAAGGGCCAGAGAAGCAGCAUGUGGGCUGUUGUGGCCUAAAAUGCCAGUGCUGGGGAUGGAGGGAGGAGCGGGGGCUUCUGGUCCCUUGGGAUUUUAAAAUGACCCUCGAAUAUUUUAGGCUAUGUAAGUGGGAAUCCAUUUUCUCCACAAAGAGGUCCGAACUAUCAAAGGGCAGAUCUUGUAUUGUGUGGUGAACCUCAGGUGGGAGACAAGAAACCUGAAUCUACGAACUGUGGCACAUAGCAAUGCCUAUGGCCAUAGUACAGGCAGCCGAGUCUGCGGAGUCCAGAGCUGCCUAGAGAGCUGUCUUGGAAACUGUGCACUCCUUCUGCACCACUGCCACAAACUCCUGCCUCGCCUCUGUGGACAGUAGCUCCUGAAAUUUGGAGAGAACAUUCCAGGAGGUAAAGUUAUAGCUGCUGAGGAGUGUCUGUUGGAUGGGAACACGGAGCUGAAAACCUCUAGUGAAAUACAUUGUCUGUCCAGAAAAGUCCAGCACCUUAGCUUCCUUAUUCUUAGGUUCAGGCCCCACUGCCCCGACGCUCCUUGAGACUGAUCGUGUCCACCACAAGGGUACCAGGUGUUUGUAACCCCACUGCGGCACAAAGUAGCACGUCUCCGCUCUGUUGGCCCUGGGUGCGAUCGAGGCAAGUCUGCCAGAGCACCUUACUGGAUGUCUGUAUGGACUUGAUAAUUGGGAGGGCAACUCGAGCUGGGUCCUCUGGUGAGAGAACAUCCACAACAGGAUAUGAUUCCUCCACCACUUCCUCAGCUUGGAGGCUAAGAUUUUAAGUCACCCACCAAAGAAGGUCGUGGGGGAGGCCUGUCACCGCCUUGUCUGGAGACGACAAUGACAAACCAAUGGGAGUACAGGAUUAUCCUACAGGGUCCUCCAUAAUUUCUACCUCCAGCAAUUGCUCUGGUGGGGCCUGUCAUGAGUGUGGGUGCCACGACACCUGGUUGCCUGUGGGUCUGGCACCAGAGGGAGGCUGGCAUCACAGAGGAGGACAAUGGUGGUGCCCAAGUGAACAGUGCCAUGGAAGCUGCCCUAGAAGGCAAUCCAUGCCCUUGGUUCUUGUGGUAGGCUCGCAGAGUCCAAAAGGGCCACUGCAUUGGCACCUGCCAUGAGAGGCCAAGAGUGCACCUGUGCUGCCAAGGAGUCUUGGUGCCAGUGCCGGGAAGAGUGCCUGGGUGGUGCCACGAGCAAGAGCGGAACCUAGAAUUCUGGGACACAAAGGACUUUGUGUCAGAACCCGAUGCAUAGUCCGACAUUGCCCACAGGGGAGCAGAGCCCAACAAUGCCAGUGAAUGGUGCCUGGCCAAGUUCUCUUGCUGGCUCUUGGCUUGCCAUGGCACUGGCAAGCGAGAACAAUGCUGCACCGAGGAACCCACCUCGUACAAAGGAGACUAGGACUGGCGAUCCCAUUGCUUAUCCUGGAACUCGCCUUGAGGAACUUCGCCUUUCAGAAAGCUAGGAUUCCCCUUGAAAUCCCAGUUUAGAAACAUCACAUACCAAGUACACAGCUCUCUGGAAGAUGCUGGUGGUUUCCAAG